rnacentral:rRNA from 1 species
AUUGAACGCUGGCGGCAUGCCUUACACAUGCAAGUCGAACGGCAGCACGGGUGCUUGCACCUGGUGGCGAGUGGCGAAUGGGUGAGUAAUGUAUCGGAACGUGCCCAGUAGCGGGGGAUAACUACUCGAAAGAGUAGCUAAUACCGCAUACGCCCUACGGGGGAAAGGGGGGGAUCGCAAGACCUCUCACUAUUGGAGCGGCCGAUAUCGGAUUAGCUAGUUGGUGAGGUAAAGGCUCACCAAGGCGACGAUCCGUAGCUGGUUUGAGAGGACGACCAGCCACACUGGGACUGAGACACGGCCCAGACUCCUACGGGAGGCAGCAGUGGGGAAUUUUGGACAAUGGGGGAAACCCUGAUCCAGCCAUUCCGCGUGUGCGAUGAAGGCCUUCGGGUUGUAAAGCACUUUUGGCAGGAAAGAAAUCGCAUCAAUUAAUACUUGGUGUGGAUGACGGUACCUGCAGAAUAAGCACCGGCUAACUACGUGCCAGCCGCCGCCGUAA